UAAUACCGCAUACGUCCUACGGGAGAAAGCAGGGGACCUUCGGGCCUUGCGCUAUCAGAUGAGCCUAGGUCGGAUUAGCUAGUUGGUGAGGUAAUGGCUCACCAAGGCGACGAUCCGUAACUGGUCUGAGAGGAUGAUCAGUCACACUGGAACUGAGACACGGUCCAGACUCCUACGGGAGGCAGCAGUGGGGAAUAUUGGACAAUGGGCGAAAGCCUGAUCCAGCCAUGCCGCGUGUGUGAAGAAGGUCUUCGGAUUGUAAAGCACUUUAAGUUGGGAGGAAGGGCAGUAAGUUAAUACCUUGCUGUUUUGACGUUACCGACAGAAUAAGCACCGGCUAACUCUGUGCCAGCAGCCGCGGUAAUACAGAGGGUGCAAGCGUUAAUCGGAAUUACUGGGCGUAAAGCGCGCGUAGGUGGUUCGUUAAGUUGGAUGUGAAAGCCCCGGGCUCAACCUGGGAACUGCAUCCAAAACUGGCGAGCUAGAGUACGGUAGAGGGUGGUGGAAUUUCCUGUGUAGCGGUGAAAUGCGUAGAUAUAGGAAGGAACACCAGUGA
rnacentral:rRNA from 1 species